UGCAUCAUAUAUUCAUUAUGUUUUCCGCCUACCAAAUACUUACCCUAAUUCAUCAUCACCAGAGUGCUGUUGGGCAUUAAAGGAGAAAUGUGGUGGCUCG
rnacentral:sRNA from 2 species